AGAGAAGAGCAACUAGAAUGAUUAGGGGUUUGCAAUGGGUCCCUUAUGAGGAGAGAUUAAAGAGGCUAGGACUUUUCAGCUUGGAAAAGAGGAGGUUG